GGGUUGUGAGGUUAAGCGACUAAGCGUACACGGUGGAUGCCCUGGCAGUCAGAGGCGAUGAAGGACGUGCUAAUCUGCGAUAAGCGCCGGUAAGGUGAUAUGAACCGUUAUAACCGGCGAUUUCCGAAUGGGGAAACCCAGUGUGAUUCGUCACACUAUCAUUAACUGAAUCCAUAGGUUAAUGAGGCGAACCGGGGGAACUGAAACAUCUAAGUACCCCGAGGAAAAGAAAUCAACCGAGAUUCCCCCAGUAGCGGCGAGCGAACGGGGAGGAGCCCAGAGCCUGAAUCAGCAUGUGUGUUAGUGGAAGCGUCUGGAAAGGCGCGCGAUACAGGGUGACAGCCCCGUACACAAAAGCGCAUGUGCUGUGAGCUCGAUGAGUAGGGCGGGACACGUGGUAUCCUGUCUGAAUAUGGGGGGACCAUCCUCCAAGGCUAAAUACUCCUGACUGACCGAUAGUGAACCAGUACCGUGAGGGAAAGGCGAAAAGAACCCCGGCGAGGGGAGUGAAAAAGAACCUGAAACCGUGUACGUACAAGCAGUGGGAGCACAGGUUUACCUGUGUGACUGCGUACCUUUUGUAUAAUGGGUCAGCGACUUAUAUUCUGUAGCAAGGUUAACCGUAUAGGGGAGCCGCAGGGAAACCGAGUCUUAACCGGGCGUUAAGUUGCAGGGUAUAGACCCGAAACCCGGUGAUCUAGCCAUGGGCAGGUUGAAGGUUGGGUAACACUAACUGGAGGACCGAACCGACUAAUGUUGAAAAAUUAGCGGAUGACCUGUGGCUGGGGGUGAAAGGCCAAUCAAACCGGGAGAUAGCUGGUUCUCCCCGAAAGCUAUUUAGGUAGCGCCUCGUGAAUUCAUCUCCGGGGGUAGAGCACUGUUUCGGCUAGGGGGCCAUCCCGGCUUACCAACCCGAUGCAAACUGCGAAUACCGGAGAAUGUUAUCACGGGAGACACACGGCGGGUGCUAACGUCCGUCGUGAAGAGGGAAACAACCCAGACCGCCAGCUAAGGUCCCAAAGUCAUGGUUAAGUGGGAAACGAUGUGGGAAGGCCCAGACAGCCAGGAUGUUGGCUUAGAAGCAGCCAUCAUUUAAAGAAAGCGUAAUAGCUCACUGGUCGAGUCGGCCUGCGCGGAAGAUGUAACGGGGCUAAACCAUGCACCGAAGCUGCGGCAGCGAACGUAUCACUUAAAGCGAUUCAGCGGGUUACGAUUGACGGAGCGAAGCGACGUCAAAGCGUAUACAAAGUCGAGUCGGUUUAAGGAUACGUUCGUUGGGUAGGGGAGCGUUCUGUAAGCCUGCGAAGGUGGCCUGUGAGGGUUGCUGGAGGUAUCAGAAGUGCGAAUGCUGACAUAAGUAACGAUAAAGCGGGUGAAAAGCCCGCUCGCCGGAAGACCAAGGGUUCCUGUCCAACGUUAAUCGGGGCAGGGUGAGUCGACCCCUAAGGCGAGGCCGAAAGGCGUAGUCGAUGGGAAACGGGUUAAUAUUCCCGUACUUGGUGUUACUGCGAAGGGGGGACGGAGAAGGCUAUGUUGGCCGGGCGACGGUUGUCCCGGUUUAAGCGUGUAGGUGUGUGUUCCAGGUAAAUCCGGUUCACUUUAACACUGAGGCGUGAUGACGAGGCACUACGGUGCUGAAGCAACAAAUGCCCUGCUUCCAGGAAAAGCCUCUAAGCAUCAGGUAACAUCAAAUCGUACCCCAAACCGACACAGGUGGUCAGGUAGAGAAUACCAAGGCGCUUGAGAGAACUCGGGUGAAGGAACUAGGCAAAAUGGUGCCGUAACUUCGGGAGAAGGCACGCUGACACGUAGGUGAAGUGAUUUACUCACGGAGCUGAAGUCAGUCGAAGAUACCAGCUGGCUGCAACUGUUUAUUAAAAACACAGCACUGUGCAAACACGAAAGUGGACGUAUACGGUGUGACGCCUGCCCGGUGCCGGAAGGUUAAUUGAUGGGGUCAGCGCAAGCGAAGCUCCUGAUCGAAGCCCCGGUAAACGGCGGCCGUAACUAUAACGGUCCUAAGGUAGCGAAAUUCCUUGUCGGGUAAGUUCCGACCUGCACGAAUGGCGUAAUGAUGGCCAGGCUGUCUCCACCCGAGACUCAGUGAAAUUGAACUCGCUGUGAAGAUGCAGUGUACCCGCGGCAAGACGGAAAGACCCCGUGAACCUUUACUAUAGCUUGACACUGAACAUUGAGCCUUGAUGUGUAGGAUAGGUGGGAGGCUUUGAAGUGUGGACGCCAGUCUGCAUGGAGCCGACCUUGAAAUACCACCCUUUAAUGUUUGAUGUUCUAACGUGGACCCGUAAUCCGGGUUGCGGACAGUGUCUGGUGGGUAGUUUGACUGGGGCGGUCUCCUCCUAAAGAGUAACGGAGGAGCACGAAGGUUGGCUAAUCCUGGUCGGACAUCAGGAGGUUAGUGCAAUGGCAUAAGCCAGCUUGACUGCGAGCGUGACGGCGCGAGCAGGUGCGAAAGCAGGUCAUAGUGAUCCGGUGGUUCUGAAUGGAAGGGCCAUCGCUCAACGGAUAAAAGGUACUCCGGGGAUAACAGGCUGAUACCGCCCAAGAGUUCAUAUCGACGGCGGUGUUUGGCACCUCGAUGUCGGCUCAUCACAUCCUGGGGCUGAAGUAGGUCCCAAGGGUAUGGCUGUUCGCCAUUUAAAGUGGUACGCGAGCUGGGUUUAGAACGUCGUGAGACAGUUCGGUCCCUAUCUGCCGUGGGCGCUGGAGAACUGAGGGGGGCUGCUCCUAGUACGAGAGGACCGGAGUGGACGCAUCACUGGUGUUCGGGUUGUCAUGCCAAUGGCACUGCCCGGUAGCUAAAUGCGGAAGAGAUAAGUGCUGAAAGCAUCUAAGCACGAAACUUGCCCCGAGAUGAGUUCUCCCUGAGACUUAGAGUCUCCUGAAGGAACGUUGAAGACGACGACGUUGAUAGGCCGGGUGUGUAAGCGCAGCGAUGCGUUGAGCUAACCGGUACUAAUGAACCGUGAGGCUUAACCUUACAACGCCGAAG
rnacentral:rRNA from 1 species